rnacentral:rRNA from 1 species
GACGAACGCUGGCGGCGUGCUUAACACAUGCAAGUCGAACGGGAUAAUUUGAGAGCUUGCUCUUAGAGAAUCUAGUGGCAAACGGGUGAGUAACACGUAGACAACCUGCCGACAGGAUGGGGACAACAUUCCGAAAGGAAUGCUAAUACCGAAUGAAGCGGAGGAGAGGCAUCUCUCCUCCGUGAAAGAUGGCCUCUGAAUAUGCUAUCACCUGUCGAUGGGUCUGCGUCUGAUUAGCUAGUUGGUGAGGUAACGGCUCACCAAGGCGACGAUCAGUAGCCGGUCUGAGAGGAUGAACGGCCACAUUGGGACUGAGACACGGCCCAGACUCCUACGGGAGGCAGCAGUGGGGAAUCUUCCGCAAUGGGCGCAAGCCUGACGGAGCAACGCCGCGGGAGUGAAGAAGGUCGUCGGAUCGUAAAGCUCUGUUGACGGGGACGAACGUGCGAAGGGUGAAUAAUCCUUUGUAAUGACGGUACCUGUCGAGGAAGCCACGGCUAACUACGUG